CCGCCUCUAGCUCAAUUGGUAGAGCAGUGGCCUUUUAAGCCAUUUGUUCUGGGUUCGAGUCCCAGGGGGCGGA
rnacentral:tRNA from 1 species